rnacentral:rRNA from 1 species
GAUGAAGCCCUUCGGGGUGGAUUAGUGGCGAACGGGUGAGUAACACGUGGGCAAUCUGCCCUUCACUCUGGGACAAGCCCUGGAAACGGGGUCUAAUACCGGAUACGACCUGGGAAGGCAUCUUCCCGGGUGGAAAGCUCCGGCGGUGAAGGAUGAGCCCGCGGCCUAUCAGCUUGUUGGUGGGGUAAUGGCCUACCAAGGCGACGACGGGUAGCCGGCCUGAGAGGGCGACCGGCCACACUGGGACUGAGACACGGCCCAGACUCCUACGGGAGGCAGCAGUGGGGAAUAUUGCACAAUGGGCGCAAGCCUGAUGCAGCGACGCCGCGUGAGGGAUGACGGCCUUCGGGUUGUAAACCUCUUUCAGCAGGGAAGAAGCGCAAGUGACGGUACCUGCAGAAGAAGCGCCGGCUAACUACGUGCCAGCAGCCGCGGUAAUACGUAGGGCGCAAGCGUUGUCCGGAAUUAUUGGGCGUAAAGAGCUCGUAGGCGGCUUGUCACGUCGGGUGUGAAAGCCCGGGGCUUAACCCCGGGUCUGCAUCCGAUACGGGCAGGCUAGAGUGUGGUAGGGGAGAUCGGAAUUCCUGGUGUAGCGGUGAAAUGCGCAGAUAUCAGGAGGAACACCGGUGGCGAAGGCGGAUCUCUGGGCCAUUACUGACGCUGAGGAGCGAAAGCGUGGGGAGCGAACAGGAUUAGAUAC